CUGACUGCUUUGGUGACAUGUAUACUAAACUAGCAUUGAUAUAGAGAUUAGCAUGACUCCUAUUCAAGGAUGACAUGCUAAUUUGUGAAGUGUUCCAUACUAUA